UGGGCUCGAACGGCUUUGGACCGACUCUGGAAACAGGGUCUUUCCCGCAAGGGACUGAAGUCGAGGUGCUGCAUGGCUGUAGUCAGCUCGUGUCGUGAGAUGUUGGGUUAAGUCCCGCAACGAGCGCAACCCUUGUCCUGUGUUGCUAAUCUUCGGAUGCACUCUCAGGAGACCGCCAGCGAUAAGCUGGAGGAAGGUGGGGAUGACGUCAAGUCAUCAUGGCCUUUAUGUCCAGGGCUACACACGUGCUACAAUGGGCGGUACAAAGCGCAGCAAACCCGCGAGGGAGAGCAAAUCGCAGAAAACCGUUCUCAGUUCGGAUUGCAGGCUGCAACUCGCCUGCAUGAAGCUGGAAUCGCUAGUAAUGGUAUAUCAGAACGAUACCGUGAAUACGUUCCCGGGCC
rnacentral:rRNA from 1 species